rnacentral:rRNA from 1 species
CGAACUGAUGAGAGUGGCGCACGGGUGCGUAACGCGUGAGCAACCUCCCAUAUCAGGGGGAUAGCCUCUCGAAAGAGAGAUUAACACCGCAUAACAUCAUUAACGCAUCGGUUUUUGAUCAAAUAUUUAUAGGAUAUGGAUGGGCUCGCGUGACAUUAGCUAUGGAGAGGUAACGGCUCACCAAGGCUACGAUGUCUAGGGGCUCUGAGAGGAGAAUCCCACACUGGUACUGAGACACGGACCAGACUCCUACGGGAGGCAGCAGUAAGGAAUAUUGGAAUGGAGGCAACUCUGAACCAGCCAUGCCGCGUGCAGGAUGACUGCCCUAUGGGUUGUACUGCUUUUGUCAGGGAAUAAACCUUUCUACGUGUAGGAAGCUGAAUGUACCUGAAGAAAGGAUCGGCUAACUCCGUGCCAGCAGCCGCGGUAAUACGGAGGAUCCAAGCGUUAUCGAUUUAUUGGGUUUAAAGGGUGCGUAGGCGGUCCUAUAAGUCAGUGGUGAAAGACGACCUUAACUGUCGCAGUGCCUUUGAUACUGUAGGACUUGAAUCUAUUUGAAGUGGGCGGAAAGACAAGUAGCGGUGAAAUGCAUAGAUAUGUCUUAGAACUCCGAUUGCGAAGGCAGCACUAAGUUAGUAUUGACGCUGAUGCACGAAAGCGUGGGGAUCAAACAGGAUUAGAUACUGGUAGUCCACGCCCUAAACGAUGAUAACUCGAUGUUUGCGAUACACAGUAAGCGUCC